UACGAAGGGGGCUAGCGUUGCUCGGAAUCACUGGGCGUAAAGCGCACGUAGGCGGGUUGUUAAGUCAGGGGUGAAAUCCUGGAGCUCAACUCCAGAACUGCCUUUGAUACUGGCAAUCUUUGAGUCCGGGAGAGGUGGGUGGAACUGCGAGUGUAGAGGUGAAAUUCGUAGAUAUUCGCAAGAACACCAGUGGCGAAGGCGGCUCACUGGCCCGGUACUGACGCUGAGGUGCGAAAGCGUGGGGAGCAAACA
rnacentral:rRNA from 1 species